GGAUUAGGACAUGUCAAAAAUAAACGAACGUACAUGUGCACCAAGAUAAAAGGUUGAACACAUCCAAGUUAUGGGAGUGAAGAAAUAAGAUGUAGACUUAUAAUGACCUAGGAAGAAGUGAUUAAGAAUUAUGUAAUAGCAAUAGACAUUUCUAUAAAAACAGCCCUAAAAUAAAUAGAGUAGAUACAGAUGAUCCAUACAAUCAACCAAAAAUGAAUUGGGAUUAAAGCUUAAUUAAGUUGAUUUGAGCAGUUUCACAAGUUCAAUUUAAGUAAUUUGCAACGGCAAUUCCAGCUCUGCAAUCAGCAUGGGUAUGUCUCUCAUGCAUUUCAAAAUAGUGUGUCUCAUUCGAAGUUA
rnacentral:misc_RNA from 1 species